AGAGAGAACUGAUGAUGAUAAUGACAGAGAAGAAGGAAAGAAGAAACAAGAGGAGGAGGAGGGGGAGGGAAUUUCUGGUCCUACAACUAAGAAACCAAGUCAUCGCUGGCCAUGGGAAUUCAUGUUGUAAUAUGUAUGACAUAUGUGUACAUGUAAUUAGUAGGUUGUGUAUUUUGUGUUAAUUAGUUUUUACGUAAACAUAUGCUUUUAAUUAAUGUAUGAUCUCAUGUUCCUAUGGCCUUAUGCCCUCUUUUGUGUAACGUACAAUGAGCUGGACAGCUCUGUCCAGCUCAUGAGGACUCACUUGUCUACUCCAUAUGGACCCUGUGUACAAUAGUGUCCUUAUUUCUUUGUUAUGUUUUUGUAUUUAAGUUCUGUAAUCUUAGAGCAGUUUUAUUCUCUUUUUGUUGUAAAAGUAUCUUAACUUGAUCUCUGCUAAUCUUACUACAUGCAGCAACUCUAGCUAAUCGCUAUUGUAGUGCUGAUUCUCAAUAAUUCACACACUCAAAACUCAAGUACAUAAAUACAGGUAUUUGUAUAAACAAGAGUAUAAAUCAUGUAUCAAUGUAUUGCAUGCAUAAAGGAUAGUUAAACUUUAUUAUUAGUUUUGUCUUAAAAGUUUAUUGCAGGCAAGCAUUGACUGAAGUUAGUGUACUGUCUGAUGUUUUACAAAUUGUUCAUAAUCAUCAUCAAUACUUGUCACUGGAUCCAGUUUAUGUUAAUAAGAAAUACACAUUACCUCCUUCAUAUCAAUACCAAAUUAAAAAGAAGGCACUUGAUGUAGCUUCCAAGAUAUUAA